UCCUGAGCUCAUUGCUUCCUCGCAUUUACUCUUCCCUAUUUCUUGUCAAUAACUCCCAUUGACCAGUUUUAGAAAUUUGGGCACACUUGUAGCAAUUUUCUAACUUGAUCUGACUUAUCCUCUGAGGGUAUAUUCAUCCCUUUGUUUCUUUCCUUGUUGUCAGAGGUCUUGUACAUGACAGCCGGAAUAACCUCCAGUUGAGGGGCUUGGGGGUGCCCCUUAUUUCUAAAGCAUCUGGGCCCAGCAGUGUGAAUACCUCAUGACAGCACUAUGAUAUGGUCAGUGGGAUCUACUCACGGUUUGUGUUGCCCUUGAUUCCAUUUCGUCUAAGUGGCAGAGGGACGAGAAGAAGCUGCUGCUGAGGACCAGUGCAGUGACGGUGUUCCCAGUGCCAUCAGAAAUGCAUCAGUGGUUGAGCCAUAACCACUAAAUUGAAUUAAAGAUCUGCAGUAUCCUGGGAAAUACAUGUUCAUUCAUAGAAGUGUUGUCUUCUUACUCAACUGUUCUUUCUCUUAACUAUUUGCUAUAGAGAUCAAUUUAGAUAUAGAGAGAACAUGCAAAAAUAAAAAAAACAUUAGAGUCAGAAGUAAAGUGAUUGUUGGUAUUUCUGAUAUUUAGAUGGUCGAUCAGCCAGGAUACAAAAUGGAUACUGACAAAUAUUAAAGCAUGCCAAUUCCAUUUGUAAAACAAGUACUUUUAUCUUAUUACUUAUGUGACUUCUGGGGGGCAGGUGAGCUGACGCAUAAGAAUAAAAUUACGUUCAAUGCUGUACCCCACAGAUAUGUACAAUCAACUAUGUUUCAGUUAAAAAUAAAUAAAUAAAAGAAUAAAAUUA